AGAGUUUGAUCCUGGCUCAGGAUGAACGCUGGCGGUAUGCCUAACACAUGCAAGUCGAACGAAGUCUUCGGACUUAGUGGCGGACGGGUGAGUAACGCGUGAGAACCUGCCUCCAGGCUGGGGACAACAGUUGGAAACGACUGCUAAUACCCAAUGUGCCUAGCGGUGAAAGAUUUAUCACCUGGAGAGGGGCUCGCGUCCGAUUAGCUAGUUGGUGGGGUAAGAGCCUACCAAGGCGUCGAUCGGUAGCUGGUCUGAGAGGAUGAGCAGCCACACUGGGACUGAGACACGGCCCAGACUCCUACGGGAGGCAGCAGUGGGGAAUUUUCCGCAAUGGGCGAAAGCCUGACGGAGCAAUACCGCGUGAGGGAGGAAGGCUUUUGGGUUGUAAACCUCUUUUCUUAAGGAAGAAGAUCUGACGGUACUUAAGGAAUCAGCAUCGGCUAACUCCGUGCCAGCAGCCGCGGUAAUACGGAGGAUGCAAGCGUUAUCCGGAAUUAUUGGGCGUAAAGCGUCCGCAGGUGGCCUUUCAAGUCUGCUGUCAAAGACCAGAGCUCAACUCUGGGCCGGCGGUGGAAACUGGGAGGCUAGAGUACGGUAGGGGUAGAGGGAAUUCCCAGUGUAGCGGUGAAAUGCGUAGAGAUUGGGAAGAACACCAGUGGCGAAAGGCGCUCUACUGACCGAAACUGACACUCAGGGACGAAAGCUAGGGGAGCGAAAGGGAUUAGAUACCCCUGUAGUCCUAGCUGUAAACGAUGGAUACUAGGCGUUGCUUGUAUCGACCCGAGCAGUGCCGAAGCCAACGCGUUAAGUAUCCCCGCCUGGGGAGUACGCACGCAAUGAUCCCGUAGUCACGUUCACCGAUGAUUUCAGCCGUCCUGUAGACCGACAGUCGGAGCACCGGUAGAUCCGCUGGGGAUCGCCGCCAGUUUGAUUCAAGAAUUGCGGGUCCCGCACAGCCGGUGAGUAUGUGGUUAUCCGAUGCACGCGAGGACCUACCAGACUUGACAUUGUCCGCGAAUCUCGGGAAGCCGAGAGUGCCUUAGGGAGCGGCGAACACAGGUUGGUGCAUGCUGUCGUCAGCUCGUGUCGUGAGAUGUUGGGUAAGUCCCCGCAACGAGCGCAACCCUCGUCCUUAGUUGCCAGCAUUAAGGUGGGCACUUUAGGGAGACUGCCGGUGACAAACCGGAGGAAGGUGGGGAUGACGUCAAGUCAGCAUGCCCCUUACGUUCUGGGCUACACACGUACUACAAUGGUUGGGACAAAGGGCAGCGAGCGAGCGAUCGUAAGCGAAUCUCAGCAAACCCAGCCUCAGUUCAGAUUGCAGGCUGCAACUCGCCUGCAUGAAGGAGGAAUCGCUAGUAAUCGCAGGUCAGCAUACUGCGGUGAAUCCGUUCCCGGGCCUUGUACACACCGCCCGUCACACCAUGGAAGCUGGCCACGCCCGAAGUCGUUACCCUAACCCGUAUGGGAGGGGGAUGCCGAAGGCAGGGCUAGUGACUGGGGUGAAGUCGUAACAAGGUAGCCGUACCGGAAGGUGUGGCUGGAUCACCUCCUUA
rnacentral:rRNA from 1 species